GGGACACGUGGUAUCCUGUCUGAAUAUGGGGGGACCAUCCUCCAAGGCUAAAUACUCCUGACUGACCGAUAGUGAACCAGUACCGUGAGGGAAAGGCGAAAAGAACCCCGGCGAGGGGAGUGAAAAAGAACCUGAAACCGUGUACGUACAAGCAGUGGGAGCACCUUCGGGUGUGACUGCGUACCUUUUGUAUAAUGGGUCAGCGACUUAUAUUCUGUAGCAAGGUUAACCGUAUAGGGGAGCCGCAGGGAAACCGAGUCUUAACUGGGCGUUAAGUUGCAGGGUAUAGACCCGAAACCCGGUGAUCUAGCCAUGGGCAGGUUGAAGGUUGGGUAACACUAACUGGAGGACCGAACCGACUAAUGUUGAAAAAUUAGCGGAUGACUUGUGGCUGGGGGUGAAAGGCCAAUCAAACCGGGAGAUAGCUGGUUCUCCCCGAAAGCUAUUUAGGUAGCGCCUCGUGAACUCAUCUUCGGGGGUAGAGCACUGUUUCGGCUAGGGGGUCAUCCCGACUUACCAACCCGAUGCAAACUACGAAUACCGAAGAAUGUUAUCACGGGAGACACACGGCGGGUGCUAACGUCCGUCGUGAAGAGGGAAACAACCCAGACCGCCAGCUAAGGUCCCAAAGUCAUGGUUAAGUGGGAAACGAUGUGGGAAGGCACAGACAGCCAGGAUGUUGGCUUAGAAGCAGCCAUCAUUUAAAGAAAGCGUAAUAGCUCACUGGUCGAGUCGGCCUGCGCGGAAGAUGUAACGGGGCUAAACCAUGCACCGAAGCUGCGGCAGCGACACUAUGUGUUGUUGGGUAGGGGAGCGUUCUGUAAGCCUGCGAAGGUGUGCUGUGAGGCAUGCUGGAGGUAUCAGAAGUGCGAAUGCUGACAUAAGUAACGAUAAAGCGGGUGAAAAGCCCGCUCGCCGGAAGACCAAGGGUUCCUGUCCAACGUUAAUCGGGGCAGGGUGAGUCGACCCCUAAGGCGAGGCCGAAAGGCGUAGUCGAUGGGAAACAGGUUAAUAUUCCUGUACUUGGUGUUACUGCGAAGGGGGGACGGAGAAGGCUAUGUUAGCCGGGCGACGGUUGUCCCG
rnacentral:rRNA from 2 species